GCAGGUGGGAAAGUCUCUCCAUAAAGGAUGAAAAUGACAGAGACAGCCAGACAACAUUUGGUUCACUGGAGAAAAAUAUCACAGUUUCUUUCAGGAAGCAGGGGAAACAGCAGAAACUAAACCUAACUAGAAAAGAAGAUCAUAUUUGCUUAUGUUGUUUGAAAUCCAUGAAUGCUUGAUUUAAUACCCUUGCCUGAGAUGGCAGACCAGCAGCCUUUUAUAAGUGAGGGCGCUGAUAUUUUCCGCUAGUCCUCAGUUUAAAAACAGUGACAGGAUUUCAAAGGGAGAAAGAUAAAUACAAUUUUCUGGUGAGAAACACAGUCCAUUAUUCAGAAGACAUUGAGGAUGCAGGAAAAGAGCUGCAACAGGCCAAGCGUGAAUUGUCAGGUUCAGAUGAAGUUUGGAUAGUUUGGAGGAACAUAUUCUUCUGUGGGUUUUUGGAAAUGGAUCUACAACGUCUGCAGUCAAUGCCUUGAGCCACAGAACAGUACUUCUUUUUAGCUGCAGGGAGAAACUGUAUCUUUUACAUUAGUACUAUGUUGGAGUGAGGCUAUGAGCUUACACAAGCAGGUGAUAGUCUGGAGGAAAUCUUUGCCUCUUCCUUUUUCUUAAACCCUGGGAGUAUUUUAUUUUAAGUAUCUGAUAGCAGUGAGGAAACUGAAACUAAUUCAUGGCCUAAGAACAUCCUUCAUCGCUUCUUGCUUCUUGUCAGAAAAACAAUUCCCCGCCACUGGAAGCUUGCACCAGGAAUUUCCCUGCAGGCCAAGUUUCCACCGCCUUGGAACAUCAAAAUGCUGAACUUGCAGUCUGUAGAGAGAAGUUUCUUCCCAGAGAAUGUGAAAGUCAUCUUGAAGUGGUUUUUGCCCUUUUUUUUUUUUUUUUAAAUCUGUAUGUAUAAUAUAAUAUGCACCUUUCUCCUUGCUUCUCCUUUAUGCUGCAAUUGCCUCUAAAAAGGUUUUGAUGCACUUCCUUGUUGCGUAUACAGCAGCUUCAGUGUGUGUAUGGCUCAGCUGGGGGUAACUGUGGCCAAAUAAUGUUUGUAAAUAUUCCCGUCAAUAAAGCUUACUGCCCUUUGGCAUCUUAUUUGUGUGUCUGUACGACUCUGGGGAGUGAGAUUUUAUUCAUGAGUAUAUUUGAAAGCAGGAGUAUCAGGAAAACCAAGUGACUUGUUACAGAAAUGUUUGCACAAAAAUGUUCUCUCAGGAUAAUCUUUUAAAAGCUCUUUCUAUUUUGUUGGUAUAAUGUUCACUAAAUAUAGGCUGAGCUUUUGCAAAACAUUUCAGAGCAGAAAAAUGGGAUUCUUCUUUUUUUACAGUGUGCAGGUCACCCAGUUCUGGAACAGAAAUUGUCCUGCAUGAUUCACAGGGGCAGUCACAAAUAACGGGUGCUCAUUCGCCAGUUUGUGAAUAAACCCCAGGCGAAAAUGUAGUCAUACAUUCAUU